GCGGGAGUAACUAUGACUCUCUUAAGGUAGCCAAAUGCCUCGUCAGCUAACUACUGACGCGCAUGAAUGGUGGCAUGGAGGAGCCUCCCCGUGGCGCCAUCGGGCA
rnacentral:ncRNA from 1 species